CAACAGUGGACUGUAUGUUCCAUUCACGAAAUCUAAAGGCUUCAGAGAGGAGGUGAUCCUUAAGAUGGGCUUUGAAGGACAAGCUGAAAAUCAUCAAAUAAAUGAGAAGAGAACCUUGAGAGACACAGCAUCAGCUUCCAUGCUGUGCCGAAGGAACUGAAGGAAGCGUCUGGCCAACAGCCAGUGUAGACCUCCAGUCUAACAGCCCAUGAGGAGUGAAUCCCACCAACAUUUACAUGAGUGAACUUGGAGAGGUGCCUUCCUGCCGGCUGAGCCUUCAGAUGAAACCCAAGAACCAACCGACACCUUGAUUGCAUCUCAAAGGUACGAAGACCAGGUGGGCAGAAAGCCGAGAGUUCCACCUCACUCAAUCAGCUGGACACAAGCCAACAGCUGGGUCUAUGUGGGACGAGAGGUCCACACGCCAGCUCCAAUCCCAUCAGGCAGUAGGUGUGCUGGUCAGAGGAGCAGAAGCAGAAGCAAAAAUGUGAAAAUAGACUGAGGAAGGAGUGUCCAGGGCUCCCCGUGGCCCCGCUGGCUGCUCACCACUGACACAAGUGCCUCCGGCCUCCCAUGGAGGUUCAGAGGGGACCUCAGGCAGCUGCUGCUCUGAUCAGGAUGGAUACGCAAGUUUAGGGUGAGUCUGCCCCAUGCUUUGCCCUCCUGCUCUUGAAUUCCAACCACAUUCUAUGACAAGGACCCUCCAGGGCUGCCAUCAUAACUUCAUCUGGUGGCUGGGUUGCAAGCCUAGCCUGAAUCCCUUCAACCAUCAGUGGGUUCGGCCCACUGACCUCCACCUUGAGCUCCCACGUACAGCACCAGAGAC